AGUAGUUACAUUAGGCACACACAUUUAUAAACCAUCUGCUGCAAGUGACCCAGGACUCAAUUACAACAUCAACCCUCACAUUUCAUCCAACAGUCAAAUUACCAGUCUAGUCUAGAAUAAGUUCAUUUUGCCCUACUGGCGCUUCAUAUCGGGUUGCACAAUCCCAGAGGGUUGAGGGUUGAACUGUCUUAGCCUAGCCCUAGAGCAUCAGGUCGUAACUGGAGUGCGAAGUUACCGGCAGGACAUUUUUAAACUGGAGGCAAACUCCAGCGUCGCCUGCACAAACGUAACCAGCCUAUGCUCCCGAAUUUUGGAGUUUAACACAUCACUUGAGAUCAGAGUGAAAUAAGUUUCAGUCCCUUUGAGAUCUCUGAGCACACAAUGAGUUAUCAUUCCAAGGGACUGAAGAGUGCGAACCUAGCUGGGGAAAAAAUUAUUUGGUGCGGAAAUUCUAGACUUUUCCGCCCACCAUUGGGGGCCGCAUCGAUCGGGUCCGGCGCGAUGCCCUGGCGUGAGUUUGGGGGCGCAACGGGACCCGGAGGGGGCGGCGAGCGCGCGUUCCCCCGCCCGCUCGGGCGGCGUCGAGGCGCGAGCAGCUCAGCCAGCCUUGCAGAGGGAGCUCUCGGCAGUUCAGGGGUCCUUCUGCUCGCAGCCACAGCAGCGCCGCCUGCGCCACUCGGCGGCGACGAAGACCAGCGGCGGCGAUGAUCGGACUCGGAGGAACUAGAGAGCACCCCAGCUGCUGGAGAAGUACUCGGCGGCCGGCUUUGAAAGCAUGAGAAAAGAAGAGUGAGAAACAAGAAGAAAAGAUAAGGUUGGAAGAGGGCAAGAGGAGAGGAAUGGAAGGAAACUUCUGCAGCCACCAACACAAUAAAUUGUAUCCUGAGCCA